GCCGGGAUGGCCGAACCAGGCUAAGGCGCCAGAAGCUCGAGCUGGUGGGGCUCUUGCCCCGUGCAGGUUCGAAUCCUGCUCCCGGCG
rnacentral:tRNA from 1 species